CUAACGCAUUAAGCACUCCGCCUGGGGAGUACGGUCGCAAGACUGAAACUCAAAGGAAUUGACGGGGGCCCGCACAAGCGGUGGAGCAUGUGGUUUAAUUCGAAGCAACGCGAAGAACCUUACCAGGUCUUGACAUCCUCUGACAACCCUAGAGAUAGGGCUUUCCCUUCGGGGACAGAGUGACAGGUGGUGCAUGGUUGUC
rnacentral:rRNA from 1 species